rnacentral:rRNA from 1 species
UACAGAGGGUGCGAGCGUUGUCCGGAAUCAUUGGGCGUAAAGCGCACGUAGGCGGUCUGUUAUGUCGGAUGUGAAAGCCCUUGGCUCAACUGAGGAAGUGCAUCCGAAACUGGCAGGCUAGAGUACGAAAGAGGAUCGCGGAAUUCCCGGUGUAGAGGUGAAAUUCGUAGAUAUCGGGAGGAACACCGGUGGCGAAGGCGGCGAUCUGGGUCGAUACUGACGCUGAGGUGCGAAAGCGUGGGGAGCAAACAGG